AGAUGAAGAGGAGUGUAUUUGCUUUCCAGUCUUUUCAUCUUUGCUUCAAGCCGUUCCCCCUCUAAAUGGUGAAUAAAAAUGACCAGAAGCUGUAAGGCGCCUCCAUAAUUUGGAAAACAGCCCGCAUAAAUAUGAUCCAUAAACUGGAAUAAGUUCACCUCCUAACCAGGCAGUAAUGACAUAUCUGCUGGAGGAAUUGAAGACGACUUUUGCAGAUGCAGACCCUGAGUGUAUAAAGAGUAAUUUAUGCACUUAAUAUUUGUAUAUAAAGGGGAAUUGUUAUUAUAAUUAUGUUCAUGUCCCCUUUAUUGUUGUCCCUCUUAUAAUUUGAAUUAAUUUUGUCACUUAUAUGAAUUAUUUUUUUAUUCAGCAUGCUGUAGGACUUACUAUGAGACAUUGCAGAGGAAAUACUUUGUCUCAGCCAGAAAAGUGCCAGCUAAGAGACUCCAUUAAGAUAGGGGCUUAAAACCGACAACGGAAA